UUAGAUGCGUUGAACGGAUGAGUACCUGAUUAAUUGAUGUACAGAGAGCUGGAGAUGGUGAAAACCGGCAAUUGAUUUUCAGGGAAUAUGGUCUGCGAGCACUUAUGACGCCGAAUCGUGAAGCGUCAUCGGCACCCCCGUUAUCGGGUAUGAGAAAGUAUUUUCUUGCAGAGAAACAACUUGUGAGGGUUGUUUAAACAAAGGUGGUAACACGUUGAAAAACGUCCUGGGU
rnacentral:ncRNA from 1 species